AGAAAAACUUACUUCAUGUGAUGUGGUAUCAAAGCACGAACACUUCUAUCAGGUUGUUAAAAAUGUUGCUUCUCAAUCAUUGGAAGUGAAGAAGCACAUGUACUAUUGACCCUAUUGAUCAAUAGUCUUAUUGACCCUAGAAAAAUGUCCUAUUGACCCUCAAGCAUCCAAAUGAAGAAUAGCUAUCAAUUAAUUGUUUCCAGAAGGACCUGGGGGACACAAAUCCAUUGGUCCAGGCAUGGGCACUUCGUGCCAUGGCAGGAAUUCAAAUCAAGUGGUCAAAAUGAUCUUGGACAAGUGGCUAAUGACAUGAAGUAUAAAGCUGAAGAUGCUGCCUCGAGGGCUAUAGAGUCAUUC